rnacentral:rRNA from 1 species
CCUACGGGUGGCUGCAGUGGGGAAUAUUGCGCAAUGGGCGAAAGCCUGACGCAGCGACGCCGCGUGAGGGAUGAAGGUUUUCGGAUCGUAAACCUCUGUCAGAAGGGAAGAAACUAUGUUGUGCUAAUCAGCAGCGUACUGACGGUACCUUCAAAGGAAGCACCGGCUAACUCCGUGCCAGCAGCCGCGGUAAUACGGCGGGUGCAAGCGUUAAUCGGAAUUACUGGGCGUAAAGCGAACGUAGGCGGUAAAUCCCACGGCUCAACCGUGGAACUGCCUUUGAUACUGCACAACUUGAAUCCGGGAGAGGGUGGCGGAAUUCUAGGUGUAGGAGUGAAAUCCGUAGAUAUCUGGAGGAACAUCAGUGGCGAAGGCGGCCACCUGGACCGGUAUUGACGCUGAGGUGCGAAAGCGUGGGGAGCAAACAGGAUUAGAUACCCUUGUAGUC